GACGAACGCUGGCGGCGUGUUUAACACAUGCAAGUCGAACGGAGAUAGCAUUUCGGUGUUAUCUUAGUGGCGGACGGGUGAGUAACGCGUGAGCAAUUUGCCUUCGGGUGGGGGAUAACAGCGGGAAACCGUUGCUAAUACCGCAUACGACGUCAUGGGGGCAUCCCCGUGCCGUGAAAGGAGCAAUCCGCCCAUAGAUGAGCUCGCGUCCCAUUAGGUAGUUGGUGAGGUAACGGCUCACCAAGCCCGCGAUGGGUAGCCGGACUGAGAGGUUGGCCGGCCACACUGGAACUGAGACACGGUCCAGACUCCUACGGGAGGCAGCAGUGAAGAAUAUUGGGCAAUGGGGGAAACCCUGACCCAGCAACGCCGCGUGAGGGAAGAAGGUUUUCGGAUUGUAAACCUCUGUCCCAUGGGACGAAACAAAUGACGGUACCAUGGGAGGAAGCCCCGGCUAACUACGUG
rnacentral:rRNA from 1 species